rnacentral:rRNA from 1 species
CCUACGGGUAGCAGCAGUGGGGAAUAUUGGACAAUGGGCGAAAGCCUGAUCCAGCCAUGCCGCGUGUGUGAAGAAGGCCUUCGGGUUGUAAAGCACUUUCAGUGGGGAAGAAAGCCUUGGGGCUAAUACCCUCGAGGAAGGACAUCACCCACAGAAGAAGCACCGGCUAACUCCGUGCCAGCAGCCGCGGUAAUACGGAGGGUGCGAGCGUUAAUCGGAAUUACUGGGCGUAAAGCGCGCGUAGGCGGUCUGAUAAGCCGGUUGUGAAAGCCCCGGGCUCAACCUGGGAACGGCAUCCGGAACUGUCAGGCUAGAGUGCAACAGAGGAAGGUAGAAUUCCCGGUGUAGCGGUGAAAUGCGUAGAGAUCGGGAGGAAUACCAGUGGCGAAGGCGGCCUUCUGGACUGACACUGACGCUGAGGUGCGAAAGCGUGGGUAGCAAACAGGAUUAGAUACCCCAGUAGUC